ACAAUGAUGCACAAGCCUAAUGAAUUUUGCAAAGGACCAACGGUUUUUUGAAUGAGUUUCGUAGUCCGUAAUUUUUGUGAUUCUAUCCAGGAAAUAUAGGAGCUGUGGUGAUGAAAUUUUCCAACACAAAAGAAAAAGACAUAGAAGCAGUACGGUAAUCAAAUACUGGCUGAAGUCUCCAAAAACUCGGUUUACCAGCAAAGAGAAAUCUAAAAAUGUUCAAACACCGGAUCCUGGAGGAAAAUCUGAAUGCUACAAAAAUUGAGAUUGAAUUGAGGUGCAGUAACAUAAACCAGUAUGUAGCUCAAAAAAUUGCUACUUUAAACAGGAAGAGAUCAAAGUAUUCUGGAGCACCACAAUAAGGACCUUUCUUAAUAGAUAAAUGACAUGCAUAUGAGUUAUUUUAAUAAACAAACUUCUCACAUUAUUUAUGUCUUAACUAUUUACAUCCCUUAAUUUUUCAUCAAUAUGUCAAUAGACAUCUAUCCACUGAAUCCAAUUCACUUAUAUUAAUUAUAGAUAAUUAAACUUCUGUAUGUGUAAAGGAUGAUUUUGUGACGAUAUUAAUAAUUCAUUUUGUAAUUUGACACUGUUCAGAUGUAUUCUGUGCAUUUUGAUAAAUAAAGAAAUUUUCAAUUCAAUUCAAAAACAGGUAUACUCUCUUGUCUGAUGCCAGUUGCAGCUGGGCUAAAAUAUUAUAAUCCUUGCAAAUGU